UGUCAAGCUACUAAGGGUAUAUGCACGGAUGACUUGGUUAGGUGAGGCGAUGAAGGACGGGGUAAGCACCGAUAUGCUUCGGGGAGCAGCAAACAUGCUUUGAUCCGGAGAUUUCCGAAUGGGGCAACCCUGCGCGUAGAAAUACGCGUAACUCUGCGAUGAAUACAUAGUCGUAGAGAGCGAACGGGACGAAUUGAAACAUCUAAGUAAGCCCAGGAGAAGAAAUCGAAUGAGAGUCCCCCAGUAGAGGCGAUCGAAAAGGGAUGAGUCUAAACCGCGCGAAAAUUCCGCAAGGAAAAUUUGCGCGGGGUUGCGGGACCUCGAUGUGAUAGUCAGAGGGAUAGCAGAAUUGCCUGGAAAGGCAAGCCAAAGAGAGUGAGAGCCUCGUAAGCGAAAUUCUGAUGACGUCUAGAGGUAUCCCAAGUACCACGGGACACGGGAAAUCCUGUGGGAAUCCAGGCUGACCACAGUCUAAGACUAAAUACUACACCUAAACCGAUAGUGCACCAGUACCGUGAGGGAAAGUUGAAAAGAACCCCGGGAGGGGAGUGAAAUAGAACCUAAAAUCAUAUACCUACAAAGCAGUGGAAGGGCUAUGCCGUUGGCGCAAGCUGACGGAAUGCCUGACCGCGUACCUUUUGCAUAAUGGUCCGACGAGUUUAUGUUGCAAGCGAGUUUAAGUGUUGCGUGAAAGCGUAACAUGGAGGCGUAGGGAAACCGAGUGCUAACCGCGCGUUUAGCUUGCAAUAUAAGACCCGAAGCUGAGUGAUCUAUCCAUGGCCAGGGGGAAGUUCCGGGAAACCGGGAUGGACGCCCGAACCCUCGAGCGUUGAAAAACUCUUGGAUGAGCUGUGGAUUGGAGCGAAAGACUAAACAAACUCAGAAAUUGCUGGUUCUCCCCGAAACAAUUCUAGGGUUCGCCUUUAGAAACUACAUCGGAGGGGUAGAGUGCUGAAUGGACUACGGGAGUCUACCGACUUGCUGAGUCCAACCAAACUUCGAAUACUACGAUGACUAUCUAAGGAGUAAGACGACGGGGGCCAAGCUCCGUCGUCAAAAGGGUAACAGCCCAGACCACCAGCUAAGGUCCCUAAUCAUAAGCUAAGUUGUAAAGGAUGUGGAUCCGCAAUAACAGCCAGGAUGUUGGCUCAGAGGCAGCCAUCAUUUAAAGAGUGCGUAACAGCUCACUGGCCGAGCGAGUCUGCGCCUAAGAUGACCGGGGAUCAAGCUUAUAACCGAAGCUGUGGGUUCGAUCUGCCUUCGGGCAGAUAGAGCGGUAGGGGAGCAUCGUCCAAUUGGGUGAAGCUGUACCGUAAGGAGCAGUGGACAUUGGACAAGGGAUUAUGUCGGAAUGAGUAGCGAAAACGUCUGCGAGAAACAGACGCGCCGAAAGUCGAAGGUUUCCUGGGGAAGGUUAAUCCACCUAGGGUUAGUCGUGCCUAAGCCGAGGCCUUAUGGCGUAGGUGAUGGAUACAAGGUUAAUAUUCCUUGACUAACUGAUUGGCGUUAUCACUUGUGUGUGACACAGGAGGGACGAGUCUGCGAGGUGUUGGAUGUCCUCGUUUUUGCAUCCGGAAGGAUGCGAAGGGACCCUGAGGUUUCCGAGGGGGAAGUGAAUCGAUUCCACACUGUCCAGAAAAACCACAUGAGGAGUCAAUCGGUUACACGUACCGGAAUCCGACACAGGUAGACCACCAGAAUAUGGUAAGGCGAUCGAGAUAACCCUCUUUAAGGAACUCUGCAAUCUAGCCGCGUAAGUUCGCAAUAAGCGGUGCCCUGCCCCGUAAGGGGAUGGGGUCUCAGUAAAGUGGAUCGGGUGACUGUUUAGCAAAAACACAUCUCUCUGCAAACUCGUAAGAGGACGUAUAGGGAGUGACACCUGCCCAGUGCUGGAAGGUUAAGGGAAUUCGUCAGUUGGGAGCAAUCCUUUCGAAGCGAUGAACCGAAGCCCCAGUAAACGGCGGCCGUAACUAUAGGCUGGACCAAAUGUAGUUGUAAAAUCUGGCUAUAUGCUGGAAAAUCCCGUUAAGCUGAUGGUACAUCCCGAAUAUUAUCGGGAUCGUGACAAUCUGUCAGAUAGGGAUUAUCAGCAGGAAAGACCUGAAGGAGGUCUCCAUGAAAGCUGAAAUCGGCUAUUAUCUUGCCGGUUUUGCCGACGGAGAAGGGAGCUUUAACGUGUCCUUUCGCCCAAGGCAAGACUACAAAUCACCAUGGAAAGUUUCUUUGUGUUUCAAUAUCUCUCAGAAAGAUAAAGUUAUUCUUGCUUUAUACAAACGCUAUUUGGGCUGCGGCACACUUCGCGGCAGGCCUGACGGUGUUUGGUAUUUCGAAGUGAAUAAUCUAAAUGCAAUCAGGGAGAUAGUAAUACCUUUCUUCAAAAGAUAUCCGUUCCUAUCAGCGAAGAAAAAACGCGAUUUCGCGAAAUUCUGCGAACUUGCCAAGUUGAUCACGAACGAAAAUCAUCUGACAGAAGAAGGUAUAAAGAAAAUACUUGAGAUACGAAGAGACAUGAAUGAUGGUGGUAAACGAAAAUACAGCGAAAUGGAGAUACUCAGUAAGCUGAAGGAAUCCUCAGAGACUAUACGCCAGACUCCUCAAACAGGAGAUGAUAUAGUCCGGUCUUCCGAGGAAUCGGAAGUUAACAUACACGAACGGUCCUAAGGUUAACGUCAAACGCUAGCCUGCUUUGGCAGAGAUGCUGAAGAAUAAUUACCAACUGUAUCGGUGAAACCCGACUCUUGCAAAAGAAGGGCAAUACCGAGGGAAGUCGUCAGUGACCCCGUAGAGACUACACGUUGGCUCCUAUGCAAAUAGGAUGAAGAUAUAGUCCAUGCCAAUAGUAAUAUUGGAUUAACAUGAGCGAAAUUCCUUGUGGGGUAAGUUCCCACGCGCACGAAUGGUGUAACAACCUGAUCGCUGUCUCGAAGAGGGACUCGGCGAAAUUGUAGUGGCGGUGAAGAUGCCGUCUACCCGCAUCAAGACGAAAAGACCCCAGAACCUUUACUGCAGCCUAUUAUUGGGUUUUGGUUUAAAUUGUGUAGCAUAGGUGGGAGGCUUUGAGGCCCGGGCGCUAGCUCGGGCGGAGCCGCAAUGUGAAAUACCACCCUAUUUGGACUAAAAUUCUAACCUUCCGGCCUGAAUCGACCGGGGGAACAGUGAUAGGCGGGCAGUUUGACUGGGGCGGUUCCCUUCUAAAAAGUAACAAAGGGGCCCAAAGGUUGGCUCAAGCCGGUCGGCAAUCGGCUGAGGAGUGUAAGCGCAUAAGCCAGCUUAACUGCAAGUCCGACAGGACGCGCAGAUACGAAAGUAGGGGCUAAUGAUCCGGUGGUGAAAAGUGGAAUUGCCAUCGCUCAACGGAUAAUAGGUACUCUGGGGAUAACAGGCUUAUCGGGCUCGAGAGUUCACAUCGACAGCCCGGUUUGGCACCUCAACAUCAUGGGGUGGUGCAGGAGCGAUCCUGCACAUGCAUUGGCUAAUAACGGUGGAGUCCUUGACGCAAGUCGAGGAUAAUACCGUGGGAAGUCGAUAGAAUAAGCAGUUAUUUCAGUGGUCUUUUCUCUUGGUGACAAAAGCAUGAUGGGUGAAACUAAUACUUUGACCUCGAAUACAUAUUCUAGAAAAUGGUUCAAACGUCAUUAGACAACCUUUCUGUAUUUUGAUCGCCUUGAGAAAACCAUGUUCUAUCUGACCCCGUAACGACUGAUUGUGCGGACAUUCUAUCCGGAUGUCACCAACGCACAUGAGAUAGUUGUCAGUACGAGACUAUCACACGCCAACUCCGCAACACUGCAUAAGCGGAUGAAGAUAUAGUCUAAUCCCACCGGUAACGGUGGAUCGAUUGCGAUGUCGGCUCAUCCUAUCCUGGGGCUGGAUAAGGUCCCAAGGGUCCGGCUGUUCGCCGGUUAAAAGGGUACGCGAGCUGGGUUCAGAACGUCGUGAGACAGUAAACUGACCGUUGCUGUCUUUAAAUCUGGCUAUUUGCUGGAAAAUCUGGGUAUCUCAUAUUACUAAUUGACGAUAUAGUCUCUAUAUGAUACUAUGGCGUCGGAAGUGAAAAUAUAUGAGUGCAGAUCACCAGCAGGAAAGGCCAAGCGGGAUAAAAGAACACUAUAUCAGUGGCUUUGUCGAUGGAGAAGGCUGCUUCUCGAUUACAAUUCAGAGAAGCAAUAAUGUGAGGCUUGGGAUUCAAGUAAUUCCCGAGUUUCAUGUGUCUCAACAUCAACGAAGAGAUGAGGUUCUUUGUGCGAUUAAGGAACGAUUGGGAUGUGGCUAUAUUAAACCCAAUAAUCCUAAUAAUCCAAAAGAUCUUACCUCGGUUUAUGUUGUGCGCAAUUUAGCCGAUAUUCGAGACAAAGUUGUGCCAUUCUUUAAGAAAUAUCCUUUGAUAUCGUCGAAGCAGCAGGACUUUGAGAAGUUUAACGAAGUUGUGGCUGCGAUGAACAAAGGCGAACACCUGAAUAAGAGUGGACUUGCAAAGAUAUUGAAACUGGCAUUCUCGAUGAAUGACAGUGGAAAAUAUCGCAAGCUGAAAAUAGUAGAUAUAUUAUCCUAUUUGGAAUCCUCAGAGACUAUACGCCAGAAAUCUUCCGCAAGGAGGAUCUAAGAUAUAGUCCGAACUGCAUAGCGAUAUGCAGAGAUUAGCAGAAAUGCUUAAUCCUUCUACGGUACAAUGUAGAUGUAACAUAAUUGUCGGUCUCUAUCUGAUGUGGGCGUUAGGAUAUUUGAAGGGGAGUUCUCCACAGUACGAGAGGACCUGGAGAAGCAGACCUCUGGUGUUCCGGUUGUCCUGCCAAGGGCAAAGGCCGGGUAGCCAUGUUCGUAAGGGAUAAGCGCUGAAAGCAUCUAAGUGCCAAGCCCACCCCAAGAUUAGAUAUCCCUGGGCCGCAAGGCCCUGAAGGCACCCGGAAGACCACCGGGUUGAUAGGCGAGGUGUGUAAGAUCCGUAAGGAUUUCAGCUAACUCGUACUAAUUGCCAACCGGCUUGACUUU
rnacentral:rRNA from 1 species